CUGCCUUCCAGCACAUAUACUAAAAUUGGAAUGAUACAGAGAAGAUUAGCAUGGCCCCUACGCAAGGAUGACACGCAAAUUCGUGAAGCACUCUCUUAUAUU
rnacentral:snRNA from 1 species